GAGAUCAUCUUUACCCAAGUCCUAUAAAGGGUGCCAUUGAGUUCCCCACACAGAUGCAUGGAGCCCAAGCUACGCACACUAGUUUGGAUCAAGACAGUUCCCUAUCCAGACUUCUUCAUCCCUCGGUGGCUCUCAGCUCCAGGGGCUCUCACAAUGGUCUAGCGCCUGGAUUCUGCCUUCACAGAUGACAUUACUGGUUGAUUCUCAUUUUUUAAGCUCGAUAAGUGAUUCGAAUGGGGAGCCACAAUUGAGAAGCACUUGUUAGAUACAGCUGGUACCAAAAAAACAACAGAUCCAGCUCUGGCCCUCUAAAAUGUUUACUACCUUAAGAUGCAAAGUUAUAACCACAGGAACAACUGUCUCCACUUUGUGAUCAAGUGACUAAGAGUGGGCUUGCAGUUUGGAUCCCCAAAGGCCAUGUGUGAAGGCUUGGUCCCCAGCUAAUGGUGCUGUUGGGAAGUGGUGAAGCUUUAGGAGCUGGGACCAAGCGGAAGGAAGUGAAGUCAUUGGGAGUAUGCCCCUGGGAUAAAGAAGAUCCAAAAAGAGAAAGAGCGGAACAUUCCAGGUGUAAUUGCACGUGCACAGAGAAACAUGCCAGUGAUCCUUUAUUUAAACCUCGCUGCUUCCUGUACUUUGGGUAAACGUAUUUUCCAUCUGUGAUUGAAUGAAUCUACAGUUGUGGAACCCACACAUAUGGAGAAUCGACUAUGCAAUCUUUAAAAGUUAAUUCUAGAAGAGGUGCAGGAGUUCUGGGAGUUGUGGUUUGCCUAUCCUAAGCACUUUGAAGAUGUACAACUAACUCUUACCCAAAGGCACAUGGAUUCACUACAUCUAGCCACAUAGCUAACUAACAUCACUGGUGACCAUUCCACGUUGUUCUUCUUAUAGCUUUCUCUUCCUUCCUCAAAAACAUCAAUUCUGGGGCCGGGGAUUUAGCUCAGUGGUUUUGCCACCUGCUGCACAAGUACAAGGACCUGAGUUCGAUCCCUGGUACCAAAAAAACCCAAAAAACAAUUCUGCUUCAUAUCAAGGACUUGGCACCUGCUUUUCCUUCUACCCAAAGUCCUCUUCCCUCAUCUUUGCCUUGCUAACUCCUUCACAUUACUCAGGCCUUACUUCUCCACAGAUGUACCUCCUGAGCCUCACCCUAACUACAAAAUUCUCACUCUGAGCUAUUCCUUAAUAUCAUACAUCCUUUCUUUCAUUGCUCCUAUCUAUCACUCAUUCGUCUUUCUCUAUUCAUUUUAUGUCUUCUAACAUUUGACUUAAGUUCCAGGAUGGCAGGGCCCAUGCUCAUGAUAGCUACCUCUGCACCCAGAGGCAUGGGACACACAAGUCAUUCAAUAGAUGUGCUCAACACAGGAAUCAAGGGAGCACAAAAUUUCAUGUUCUGCUUCAGUGGAUAGAGGAAAAUGCAACUCCAUAAAUAAAGGAAUCAACUAAUCUGCAACUAAUGUGACCACGUCUUAAAGCACCACUCAAUAAAUACCUGGAAAAAAUGGAAAGGUCAGAUUUUGUUUGGACCUUAGUCUAAUUGAAAAGUUCAUGCAACCAGUUUUAGUUUCUCUUGAAUAAAGAUACUUUGUCCUCCUCUUGCUUCUCUCCUUUAAAUGGUGCUGAGUAAGUGGAAGAUGGGGACGGAGGUGUGAGAUGUUGCUUCUCUCUCCUCUGCUCUACAAAGUGAUUUUCCUGAUACCCCUGCUUGGAUUUGUGGCUCCAGUGUAUGCCCGGUCUGGCUUGGGCAUCAAAGGGCACUGAUGUUUUCUACAUGGUUCACCUGC